UGGGGAAUAUUGGACAAUGGGCGCAAGCCUGAUCCAGCCAUGCCGCGUGUGUGAAGAAGGCCUUUUGGUUGUAAAGCACUUUAAGCGAGGAGGAGGCUACUUGGAUUAAUACUCUAAGAUAGUGGACGUUACUCGCAGAAUAAGCACCGGCUAACUCUGUGCCAGCAGCCGCGGUAAUACAGAGGGUGCGAGCGUUAAUCGGAUUUACUGGGCGUAAAGCGUGCGUAGGCGGCUUCUUAAGUCGGAUGUGAAAUCCCUGAGCUUAACUUAGGAAUUGCAUUCGAUACUGGGAAGCUAGAGUAUGGGAGAGGAUGGUAGAAUUCCAGGUGUAGCGGUGAAUUGCGUAGAGAUCUGGAGGAAUACCGAUGGCGAAGGCAGCCAUCUGGCCUAAUACUGACGCUGAGGUACGAAAGCAUGGGGAGCAAACAGG
rnacentral:rRNA from 1 species